rnacentral:lncRNA from 1 species
GAGGCAGUUUAUUGGUACACAGGCGCCUGCGGGUGCGCAGCAGAACCUCAGCCGGAGCUUCGGUGAACUGGCACACCGGGCUUUGGGGCACAGAUCUUUUAUGGGGUAAAGGAGCAGGUUUCGUGCGCGCGGCAAGGAACAGGUUUCUUAUUGGUCAUUUUGAACCUAGCAUAUAGGUCACCUAAAGAGCAAGGUCGUUUUUCACUGUAUGUUCCUGGAAAACCCACGGUUUUACAUUCCAUUCUUUCUGUUCCUGCUUAUCUGUUCCGGUUUUCCCGAUCGUGUCCUGGGACACAAUUACCCGGUUCUUUCCCAACCAUCCUGUUCUUUCCUAAUCGGUUACAUUUAACUGGUUAUAUGAAAAACACAUCUGGUGCCUGUUAACUGGUUAUCUGAAAAACACAUCUGGUGCCUGCGCAGGUUUGUAGCAUGCCCUGAUGAUUUUGUAACUGGGCCUAAAGUUAUUGGGCUGGGGUCUCUCAUUUCCAUACAUAGCAAACAGCUAAACCUGUCACCAUCACUUCUACUUCAUAACAGCCUGUACCUGCUGUCUGCUAAGCUGUGAGGGCGAUUCAUAGGCCAGUAACACCCAGACCUGCUGUUAAGGAGUGGCUGCUGUGAAAUUCCCACUAAUACACAGUGGAACCAAACAGUGUUGGCCCAACUGGAUUGUGCAUGGUCAUUGUGGCCUCCUUGGCUGUUUUACCUUUUCCUUUUGUUUCUGAAUCCUCUUCUAUGUGCCUGUAAAGCCACCUGGGUCCUAUGCAGGGUCUCCAGCAGCACUGAGGCUUGCUGCUCAACCAGGUGGCUUGUACUUCCUUUCUUAUUCUCUUCCAGCAUGGAAGGCCCUAAAGAAUGGGACUUACUUAGAAUCCAAUUAUUUGAGGGGACUAGCAUGGAUUAUCACAUGACAAUUUGAAGCAUAUAAUACAUGUGAACAACUCUUGAAACUCGAAGCAAUGGGUCCACCAAUAUUUCUCUAACAGGAAUUAAGCAUUUGGAUUAUGACCUUGAAGGAAAUGUUACAAUAUUUUCCUCUGGUGCUGGGGAUUGAACCCAGGGGCAUUCUACUACUGAGCUACACCCCAGCCAUUUUUAAAAAUUAUGAGACAGGGUCUUGCUAAAUUGCCCAGGCUGGCUUCAAACUUGUGACCUUCUGCCUUAGCCUCCCAAGUAGCUGAGAUUACAGGUAUGUACCACUGUACCCAAAAGGAAUUGCUAUAGUUGUUAAUAGGGUAAGACUGAUCAAUAGAUACUGAAUACUCACUCCUGUAUGCAGCCCUCUACAAUGUCUGUGGCCUGGGAGAAAGAAAUGUAUUAGUUAGGCUACUUACAUAGCAAACAGCUAAAUGGUGUUUACAGCAACACUGAGCAGUUCCCAGCACCAAGGAAAGUGUUAGUCAAGUGCCUGUGGGAUGUCUCUAUUUGGCCAUCACAAGAGCACUCUCUCAUCAUGAGUGACACUACGGUCACCCAAGUCAGGGAUCUCAGGUUCUCCUUGACACGUGACCCAUACCCAGGCACUAUAUUCCAGAGGGGCACUUCUGUGACUCCUCAUGGACAUACAGGGUGAUCUUGCCCUCUUUUCCCUCCCCCACAUCCUUGCAGUAUUCUAACACUUUCUCUGUCCCCACUUUGCCCUAGUGUCCACCCCACAGCCACAAUGGGUUCUCUAAAAUGCAAAUAAAGCUCUUCAGUGAAUACUCAUUUCCCUGAAGAUAAAAGUUCAAAUACUUUAACAAGAUAUAUAAAGCUGCUGGGUGUGGUGGCACAUGCCUA